rnacentral:rRNA from 1 species
CCAGACUUGACAUGCAGUAGACAGUUCUAGAAAUAGAAUCUUCCUUCGGGACUGCUGCACAGGUGCUGCAUGGCUGUCGUCAGCUCGUGCCGUGAGGUGUUGGGUUAAGUCCCGCAACGAGCGCAACCCUUAUCAUUAGUUGCCAACAUUUAAGGUGGGAACUCUAAUGAGACUGCCUGGGUUAACCAGGAGGAAGGUGAGGAUGACGUCAAGUCCGCAUGGCCCUUAUGUCUGGGGCUACACACGUGCUACAAUGGUCGGUACAGAAGGCAGCGAAGCCGCGAGGUGAAGCAAAUCCAAAAAGCCGAUCCCAGUUCAGAUUGUAGUCUGCAACUCGACUACAUGAAGAUGGAAUUGCUAGUAAUGGCGAGUCAGCAACAUCGCCGUGAAUACGUUCCC